CUUCUCAUUUAUUUGUUGCUAUAGUUUCACAAUGAUAUGAGCUGUUAUAUGCAUGGGAUAAAGUAAUAUUGGGCCAUUAUAAAUGAAGACGGAAUAACCAUUUUCAUCUCUUUUGCCUAGACUAGACAUUG